UAUAUUAAUCCAAUCGUAUAGAAUUCACAGCAUCCUUUGAAGGGAAACCUUUUAUAUGCGAUUGAGAGAGUCUUGAAGCUUUCUGUUCCAAAUUUAUAUGUGUGGCUCUGCAUGUUCUACUGCUUUUUCCACCUUUGGUUAAAUAUACUUGCAGAGCUUCUGCGAUUUGGUGAUCGUGAAUUUUACAAGGAUUGGUGGAAUGCAAAAACUGUUGAUGAGUAUUGGAGGUUGUGGAAUAUGGUAUGUCUUUUCCGGACUUAAUUUUGAAGACCAAGUUCUUUCUUUAUUAUUUUUUCUCUUCCUGGGAAAUGAUUUGCUGGGCUUGUGUAGUGAUGAAAUUCUUGUGAAUAUAUAUUUUAUAUAGUUAUUCUACCAGGUGUAAUCAUGGUUUACCACUCUUUACAUUAAAAAAAGGGUUUACAAAUUAUAAUUCUCUGAAAUUAACAAAAGGAAGAAAUGGAAGCUGCAGGUUUCCAUAUGUUUCUUGCUGAUGUAGUUUCUCAGUUGUUACUGUGUAAAUGGUUCUAAAACCAUAUAUAGAACUUUGCAGGUUUAUUUGUUAUUUUCAAGUGUAUUUCUAAUCCAUUACUCUAAUAUAAUUUCAUUGGAUUGAACUAUUAUACCACCAACUAUGCUUCCAAUGCACCUAAGCUAUUGUCUGCAAAACCAAAUUAUGCCACUUAUUCUAAUGUUAAUCUUGCAAGU